CACCAGGUCAGGACACGGUAAGGAUUGACGGACUGAAGGCUCUUUCUCGAUUCCGUGGAAAGUGGUGCAUGGCCGUUUUUGGUUGGUGGAUCGAUCCGUCUGGUUAAUUCCGUUAACGAACGAGACCUCGGCACUCCGAAUAGCGCGGCGGACGUCGCGGCCUCCGGGCCGUCUUCCGCACGAGCUUCUUAGAGGGACCGUCCCCCGCCGGGGAAGGAGGUGCGAGGCAACGACAGGUCUGUGAUGCCCUUAGAUGUUCUGGGCCGCACGCGCAUUACACUGACGCGUCCAACGGGUGACUCCCGACCCGAAGGGGCCGGGGAAUCCGCAAGGCGCGUCGUGAUGGGGAUUGAACGUUGCAAUUGUUGUUCACGAACGAGGAAUUCCUAGUAGGCGCGGGGUCAUCAACCCGCGCCGAUUACGUCCCUGCCCUUUGUACACACCGCCC
rnacentral:rRNA from 1 species